rnacentral:lncRNA from 1 species
GGCCAUGGAAACUACCUCUCAUAGGGAACCUGCAUCAACUUGCAGGCUCACUUCCACACCAUGCUCUCAGAAAACUAGCAAACAAACACGGUCCACUCAUGCACCUUCAACUGGGUCAGAAUUCUGUAGUGAUUGUUUCAUCCCCCAACAUGGCCAGAGAAAUCAUGAAGACGCAUGAUCUUGCUUUUGCAGACAGGCCUGAGUUCCUUCCUUCCAAGAUCAUGGCAUACGGAUCAAUAGACAUUGCGUUCGCUCCCUAUGGCCAAUACUGGAGACAGAUGAGGAAGAUAUGUACACUUGAGGUUCUAAGUUCAAAGAAGGUUCAGUCUUUCUCCUUUAUCCGAGAAGAGGAGGUAGCUAACACAGUAGAAACAAUUCGCACAGCUGCUGGUGCAACCAUCAAUCUCAGUAAAAUGAUUAACAAUCUGAUAAGCACUGUGGUUUCUAGAGCUGUGUUUGGCAACAUAUCAGAAGACCAUGAACAGUUUGUGUCCUUUGUGAAGGAAUCAAUAGCGUUAUCCGAUGGAUUUGACCUUGCAGAUUUGUUUCCUUCCUUGAAGCCUCUGCAUUUCAUCACUGGUUUUGAAGCCAAACUGAAGAAGAUGCAUGUAAAGGUCGACAAGAUCUUGGACAAGAUCAUAAAGGAGAAUGAAGCAAGGAAAUUGGAAGGUACAAACCAACAAGAACAAGAAGAAAAGAAUGAGAAUCUCGUUGAGGUUCUUUUAAGAGUCUUACAUAGUGGCACCCUUGACACCCAAAUUACGCUCAACAAUGUCAAAGCAGUCAUUUGGGUUAGUAUGUCUACAUUUCUAGCUCCAUUUACAUACAAUUUCUUAUGAUAACUAAUCCCUUGAAACUAUGAUGUAGGACAUAUUUGCUGCUGGAACAGACACUUCAGGAGUAGUUAUAGAGUGGGUUAUGUCGGAAUUGAUGAGAAAUCCCAGAGCUAUGAAGAAGGUACAGGCUGAGAUUCGACAAGCUUUGAAAGAAAAGCAAACAAUCCGGGAGGCAGAUCUAACAGAGCUUCGCUACUUGAAGGCUGUGAUCAGCGAAACAAUGAGGUUACACCCUCCUCUUCCUCUGUUGCUUCCAAGACAAUCCAGAGAAGAGCGCUUCAUCCAUGGAUACCAUCUACCUAUCAAUACUAAAGUCAUGGUAAAUGCCUAUGUGCUCGGAAGAGAUCCCGAUUACUGGUGUGAUGCAGAAACCUUCCUACCAGAAAGGUUUCAGGACACUCCAAUGGAUUUCAAAGGGACAAACUUUGAGUACAUCCCUUUUGGAGCAGGAAGGAGAGCUUGUCCCGGACUUACCUUUGGUUUAGCCAACGUGGAGUUUGCUCUAGCUAUGCUACUCUACCACUUCAACUGGGAACUCCCUAAAGGAAUUAAGCCAGAGGAUUUGGAUAUGAAUGAAGCACAAGGAGCUGUGGUUGGAAGGAAAAACAACCUUUACUUGAUUCCCCAACCUUACCAUUCUUAGCUUCACGAAUCAUGAUAGUGCCUAAUAAAUAAUAUCAUGUGUAUUCUUACAUUUGCUAUGUAUUGCCAAAGUUAAUUUAUCAAUUUAGACGUAAGCUUUUAAAAGAUAAUAGCAAUUGUAAUAAAAGCUAAUGCUGGCAUUGACUAUUGAGAACAAGGAACAAUUACACUGGCAGAAAUCAGAUUGGCAUCAUAAUUCAAGCAUUACUACAUAUUCAAAGUGAACAUUGUAAUGAAUUUGAAAACUAUUAGAAUAGCCAAGAAAGAGUGGGGGAGAAUGGGGUAGGCAGGUUGUUAAAUUUUUUAAGAAACUGUUAGGUACCAGAUAAAUGACACAGCAAAAUAUAGAGAUGAAAAAUUAAAAAUUUGUAUAAAAUAUGGAAACAAUUGAAUAACUUUCUUUGAGAAUUACAACUUCUCUCUAUCACAAGGAGACUACAAAACACUCUCUCUUGACAAAAGGAGAACACACUUCUCUCUAUAUCCCUUAAAGCUAAUUUUGAUAAAUUUUCAAAAUUCAUGUUGCUCAUGUAUUCCAUAGGCCGUAUAAGGAUCUACACCAUUCAAACUUUUCUGUGUUGAUUGGUUUUGUCAUGGCAUCUGUUAGGUUAUCUUUAGUGUGAAUCUUCUGCAUAUCAACACUUCCUUCUUCUACUACUUCCCGAACAAAGUGAUAUUGUACUCCAAUGUGUUUUGUUCUUGAAUGAAAGGCAGGAUUCCUUGCAAUGUGCAAGGCAAUCUGACUAUCACAAUACAUAGAAAUCUUCUGUUGUUUGUGCCUGAGUUCUUCUAUCAACCUUUGGAUCAAAAUAGCUUCCUUGCAUGCUUGUUUCUUCAAAUAAUUCUUUUGCGAUAGCCAAAUCUUCCUAUCCUUUUUGUCUCGGUGAAUUUGCAUCCCUAAAAUCUUGUUUGCUGGUCCCAAGUCUUUCAUAUCAAACUCCCUAGCCAACUGUGCCUUCAAUUCUUGGAUUUGAUCUUUGUUGGGACCUACCACCAACAUGUCAUCCACAUACAACAGCAGAAUGAUGAAAUCAUUAUCACCAGACCUCUUGUAAUAAGUACAAUGAUCUGAACUAAGUCUGUUGUAUCCAAGGCUAAUAAUGAAAGAAUCAAAUCUCUUAUACCAACACCUUGGCGCCUGCUUUAGACUGUACAGAGAUUUAGUUAACCUGCAAACCAAGUUUUCUUUUCCUUUUUCUUCAAAACCUUCUGGUUGGAGCAUAUAUAUCUCUUCUUCAAGUUUUCCAUGAAGAAAAGCAGUCUUUACAUCUAAUUGCUCUAGAUGUAAAUCAAAUGCAGCACACAUAGCCAAAACUACUCUAAUAGUAGUUAGUCUCACCACUGGAGAAAAUAUUUCAUUGAAGUCAAUACCUUCUUUCUGAGCAUAUCCCUUGACAACCAAUCUUGCACGAUAUCGUUCCACCUGAUCAUUACUAUCUCGUUUGAUCUUGUAAACCCAUUUGUUACCAAUGGCUUUCCGACCUGCUGGAAGUUCAACAAGUUUCCAGGUAUGGUUUCUAUGUAAUGCCUCAAUUUCUUCUUGCAUUUCUGUCAUCCACAUAGAAGCGUCUGGAAUGCGCAUAGCCUCCAUAAAAGUUGUUGGCUCUCAAUCUUCUGUCAAAAGACAAUAUGCAUCAUGGUUUGUUAAAACAUAAUUUGAGUGCCAUGAUGGGGUUCUUCUUUGUCGAGUGGAUCGACGAACUUCUAUGUCAUUGGCAUCUGCUUCUUGUUCUUCGUGCUGUGGUUCUACUUCAGAAAGAUCAUCUUCUCUGCAUUUUUCAUCUAUUUGAACAGUGGUUAUCUCUUUAACAGUACUGUCAUUUUCUUGUUCCUUUUUCAAUUCAUCUUCUGCAAAUAUUACAUCUCUACUGACAACUACCUUGCGGGCAGUGGGAUCCCACAGGCGAUACCCCUUAACUCCGUCAGUAUAACCCAAGAAUAUACAUUUUUUAGACUUUGGAUCUAGCUUUGUUCUUUCCUGGGAAUUGUACAUCACGUACACAAGACAACCAAAUAUAUAUAAAGAAGAAUAAUUAGGUGGCUUACCUUGCCACAUCUCCAUUGGUGUCUUUAACCCAAUUGCAGUUGAUGGUGACCUAUUUAUCACAUAACAGGCGGUUUUAACAGCUUCUGCCCAAAAAGACUUGGCUAAACCUGCAGUUUGCAACAUAGCUCGUGCUCUUUCUAGGAGAGUCAUAUUCAUUCGCUCUGCUACACCAUUUUGCUGAGGCGUAUAUGCAACUGUGAAUUGUCGUUGAAUACCUGCUUGCUUGCAAAAUGUUAGAAAAUCACUAUCAACAUAUUCUCCUCCAUUAUCUGCCUCUUGCAAAGUAUCUCCCACAAGCAUGUAUAGAUUUGCUGCCAUCUUUUCUUCUUUUAUUACUACAAGAGCUCCUUUAACAACUUUUAAGAUCCCACCUUCAAUAUGGGUCUUACAACCAAGUUCAUCCAAUUGCCCAAUCGACAACAAAUUCUUCUUCAAGCCUUUCACGUGUCUUACCCCUUGAAGUGAAUGAAUAGAACCAUCAAACAUUUUUAUUUUGACAGUACCCAUUCCAACAAUUUCUAAGGCAUGAUCGUUUCCCAUAAACACAAAUCCUUCCAAGACAGGUUCAUAUGUACAAAACUAAUCACGAUGAGGAGUCAUGUGCCAUGUUGCUCCUAAAUCAACAAUCCAAACAUCAGUGAGCUGUUUACUGCCUUUAGAACCAAUUGUUGCUUCGCCAUACAGGAUUUCUCCAUCAUCAGAGGUACUUGCAACACAUCCUUGAGAACUUGAUCCUUCUGGAACCUUCUCUAUACUCUUCUUAUUCCAACAAUCUUUCUUGAAGUGCCCUUUCUUACCACAAUUGUAGCAUUUGACCUGCUUCUUACUUUGUGACUUUGGUCUACUUUGACUCCCACUGAAACCACGCUCCAUUGAUCUCCCUCUUGUCAUCAACAAAGCCUCUGCUUGUUUUGAGCUUUCUAAUCUAUCUUCCUUAUUCUUGCGUCUAGAUUCUUCUUCAAGAACUGCAGCAGCCAUGUCAUCAAAAGAAAGAUAAUUAGUCAAAACAUUAUUAGUUAAGUUAAUGAUAAGCUGAUCAUAUGAAUCUGGUAGACUUUGAAGUAAGAGCUCUGCACGUUCGUUUUCCGCUAUGGUAUAUUCCAACGAUGAGAGUUGGGAAAAUAGUGUAUUUAGAUUGUUGAUGUGAUCCGUUGCCGAUGUGGAUUCAUUCAUUCGAAGAGUAUAAAGUCUUCUCUUCAAGAAUAUCUUGUUGUGAAGUGACUUGACUUCAUAUAAUUUGGUGAGAGCAUCCUAAAUUUCCUUUGCUGUCUUUUUCUCUGCUACACUAGAUAAAAUUGAAUCAGCUAGUGCCAAGUGUAAGUUUGCAACAGCAUUGUUGUCCAUCUCCUUCCAUUUUUCAUCUGUAAUUCCAGUGGGUCUACCUUCAAUUGCUGUCACGCAAUUGUCUUUUCUCAUAAUGGCUUUUAUCUUCAAUUUCCAUAUAGAAAAAUUACUCCUACUGAAUUUCAGAAUUUCAUACUUUGCUGCUAUUUUUUUUAGACAGUAACUCGCAGCGAAAAAAAAAUAUAUUAAUCAGCAACCUUUGGCUCUGAUACCACUGUUAGGUACCAGACAAAUGACACAACAAAAUAUAGAGAUGAAAAAUUAGAAAUUUGUAUAAAAUAUGGAAACAAUUGAAUAACUUUCUUUGAGAAUUACAACUUCUCUCUAUCACAAGGAGACUACAAAACACUCUCUCUUGACAAAAGGAGAACACACUUCUCUCUCUAUAUAUAUAGGAGAAAACUAUUCAAAGAAAUAUUAUGUUAUUCUAUCUGGAUGACUUGAUUGAAAUGAAUUAAAGAAAAACUCAAUUUAUAGGUGAGUCUCUUCAAUAUGAACCAUCCAUCAAUUAGAGGUAUAUAAUUCUUCUCUUUUUCAACUACUAAAAUUCUAAGGUUAUAAACUAAGAUUGUUUAUUACCUCUCAUUUUAUUUAGUUAUUAUUUAUUUAUAUAUUUUCUAAAAUUAGCUUUACUAAUUUUCACAGAAACCAUGGUAGUUCAUAAGCCUACCAACCUGCAUUCUUGUUUUUGUUACCGCCAUACAAACGGAGAGGCUAAAAGCCGAAAUACAAGAGAGGAUCACCAUGCUGAGGCUAACCGCUAACCACAACAACAGAAGCUAUCCCUUCUCCCACUUGGUUGCAGAAUUUCUCAUACAUGUUGCAAACCUUUAUCCACUGAAAUUCAGAUUGCCCUGCCUUUGCAAACACCGCUGAUUGCAGCGAUGCUUCUACUUCCGCCCCAGUCACAUAUGCCAUUACCUGUAUAUGUAGACCAAGUUCAACAUACCUUUCUGAUAAAUGUUAUAUUUGAGAGUUCAUUCAACUCAAGAUGAAUAUAAAGCUUUCCUUGGAUAAAAUACUUCAUAAAUCCUAACCCAUUGUCUUACUAAUGCUUGUCUGAACCCAGCAAGACAAAGGAAAUUAAAUGCUCUCAUUGAUCAAACAACACACAUUUUUUUUUUCGGAUGGAAGUGGACCGGACUACUCAACGGAGACGCAAAACUUGACUCGUUUUAGAUUUGGCUCAACUCGAUUCAUUUUAUUAAACAAGUCAGACUUGAACCUGAUGUAAAGUUUAGCCUGUUAAUUAAAAAUUAAAAAGAUCAUGUUAUAAGUUUUUUAAAAAAAAAACUACAAAAAUUUGUUGGAUUGGCUUGGCUCGUUGAAUACACUACACGGUAAUUUAAUGCUACUAAUUAAAUUUACUCUUUUAACCCCAUUAAUUCACAUUGUUUACACAUUGUUCAAAAAUCUUGUUAGUUACCUAUACUUUUUCAUAUUUUAAAAAGGGGAGUGUUAGGUAAACAAUGACUUUCUUGAACAACAUGAACAACCACCAAUCAAAUAAAAACACACUACACCUCUAAAUUACUCACUUAAAUCUUAAUAUUAAAAUAAUCAUUCGUACACCUAGUAAAAUGAACAUCUGAUUUACAUUGUUUAGUAUUUUCAUUGUUUACCUAUACUUUUCCUUUUAAAAAAUAUAAAUUAUUUUUAAUUUGGACUUUUAACUAUUUAUUUAUAUUAAAUAUAAAACAAAACAAAAAAAAUUAAUGGCAAAAAUUAAUUAAGAUUGUAAUUUUUUUAAAGAAAAAAUUUAUAUAUUAUAAGUACGGUUAUGAUAUGUGAUUAAUGAUUAAUACAUAACAAACUAUGAAUUAUAAAUUUUAGAAUACAUUUAAUAUUAAUUUAAAAUUUUUAAAUUUAUUGUUAGGAGUUAUAAUUCACGAAACAGACUUUUCAAAUAAACUGGUGGACUGAUUGAACUUUAAAUAAACUGACCUAAAACUUGAAAAAAAUACCUAAAAAAAAUAAUGUCUAAACGGAAUCAAUUUAUUUACAACAUAAACGAGACAACGAUAUAAUUAUAAAUGUAUUUCAUCUAUAUCGUCAACAAAAUAUAUUUUAAAAAAAUUAUAAUUUUUUCGUGUGCAAACUAUAAAUUUUUUUUUCUCGUAUUUACGUUUAUAAAUUAUAAUUAUCCCGUUUUUAUUACUAACAAAAUAAGUAACAAAAAGAGAAAGUAGCAAUUUUUUCAGAACAUCUCUAUAUUUCCUAAAUGUUAUAUUUAUUUAAAUAAAAAACCCACCAUUAAAUACAGUCAACAAAAAAGCAAAAUAUUAAAUAUGGUCAACUCAACAAGCUACCUGCCUCGUGCAUGUCGAAGUCAAUCUCCAAACCCCAAAGGCACCUUAGGCAGCACACAAAACAAGGCAAAUAAAAUGCACUAUAAACAAAGAUGAAUCGGUUGCAUGCACAAGUACAUUCAUAAGUGAAAGCAUCCUUCAAACACAGAAUUAGAUCUGCCAAUAUGGAAGUUAGUUCAUCCAUGGCGUUUAUCAUAAUAAGCUUCCUUCUCUCUUUGCUAUUGCUAUGGCACGCAAAGAAGGGUAAGAGUGUCCAUAAAGUACCACCUGGGCCAUGGAAACUACCUCUCAUAGGGAACCUUCAUCAACUUGCAGGCUCAUCACUUCCACACCAUGCCCUCAGAAAACUAGCAAACAAACACGGUCCAUUCAUGCACCUUCAACUGGGUCAGAUUUCAGCUGUGAUUGUCUCAUCCCCCAACAUGGCCAGAGAAAUCAUGAAGACUCAUGAUCUUGCUUUUGCAGACAGGCCUGAGUUCCUUCCUUCAAAGAUCUUAGUCUAUGGAUCAGCUGAUAUUACAUU